rnacentral:rRNA from 1 species
AGAGUUUGAUCCUGGCUCAGGAUGAACGCUAGCGGCAGGCCUAACACAUGCAAGUCGAGGGAGAAGCCCUUCGGGGCAGAAACCGGCGCACGGGUGCGUAACGCGUAUGCAACCUACCUUUCACAGGGGGAUAGCCCGAAGAAAUUUGGAUUAAUACCCCAUAAUAUUGUUGGAUGGCAUCAUCUGACAAUUAAAACUGCGGUGGUGAAAGAUGGGCAUGCGUCCUAUUAGCUAGUUGGAGUGGUAACGGCACCCCAAGGCUACGAUAGGUAGGGGUCCUGAGAGGGAGAUCCCCCACACUGGUACUGAGACAGGGACCAGACUCCUACGGGAGGCAGCAGUGAGGAAUAUUGGUCAAUGGUCGGAAGACUGAACCAGCCAUGCCGCGUGCAGGAAGAAUGCCUUAUGGGUUGUAAACUGCUUUUAUAUGGGAAGAAUAAGGUGUACGUGUACAUUGAUGACGGUACCAUAUGAAUAAGCAUCGGCUAACUCCGUGCCAGCAGCCGCGGUAAUACGGAGGAUGCGAGCGUUAUUCGGAAUCAUUGGGUUUAAAGGGUCUGUAGGCGGGCUAUUAAGUCAGGGGUGAAAGGUUUCAGCUUAACUGAGAAAUUGCCUUUGAUACUGGUAGUCUUGAAUAUCUGUGAAGUUCUUGGAAUGUGUAGUGUAGCGGUGAAAUGCUUAGAUAUUACACAGAACACCGAUUGCGGAGGCAGGGGACUAACAGACGAUUGACGCUGAGAGACGAAAGCGUGGGGAGCGAACAGGAUUAGAUACCCUGGUAGUCCACGCU